UACGUAGGGGGCAAGCGUUGUCCGGAUUCAUUGGGCGUAAAGCGCGUGUAGGCGGCCAGGUAGGUCCGGUGUGAAAACUCGAGGCUCAACCUCGAGAGGUCAUCGGAAACCAUCUGGCUAGAGUCCGGAAGAGGAGAGUGGAAUUCCCGGUGUAGCGGUGAAAUGCGCAGAUAUCGGGAAGAACACCUAUGGCGAAGGCAGCUCCCUGGGGACGGUACUGACGCUGAGACGCGAAAGCGUGGGGAGCGAACAGG
rnacentral:rRNA from 1 species